CGUUUCUCUCUUAUUUUUUUCUCUUUCACGUUUCUCUUUCUCUCUCACUUUUUCUCUUUUUCUCUCUUUUUUCUCUAUUUUUCCCUUUCUCGCUACAGAAGGUGGGGUUGUUCUUCCCCUUCCUCAAUCUUCUCCAUCUUCGUUUUCCUCUUUCUAUCUCUUUGCCCUCUAUUUGUUAUUCUCUUUCUCUAUCGUUUGAGAUGAAACUCUGAUUUUUGAUUAUGUAACGAUGCACAAAAUUAGGGUUUCAAAAAUCUUAUUUAGCCUAAAAGAAGAAACACGAAAUCAGGACUUUGGAGAAAGCACUGGUAUCCCUUUUUGUAUUCUACCAUGGUGAGUUUCGAUUUCGAUUCCGUAACUUAUGUGAAAGAACAAUCAAAGCAUUCAUCGAAACAAUAGGCUAUGGUGAUACUAAAAACUGAAAAAUUAUUUAUUUGUGAUUCAUUUUUAUAAAAACUGAAUGUUUGUUUAUUUGUUGUUAUUGUUGUUGUUUUUGUUUCUGUUUUUGGUGGUGUGUUUAGGGAAGCAAAAUGAGAAGAACUUGCUGAGUUUGAAAGGUUUAUUUUAAGAUGGAGUUUCUUACUUUUUGUCAUUUUAAGAAGAUUGAAUAUGAUAUGAAGCUUUUAAUUUUUGAUUUUUUUUCUCUGCAGAAUUUUGGAGAGUUAGAGGAGCUUGAAGGUGUGAGAGUGAUGGAGUUUGCAGAUGGUGAACAAUGUCCGGUUUGAAUGUGUAUUUGUACUCAUAAUCUUGGUUUGGACUAUCUACGCUUUUUCAGUGUAAAUUCAUACUUAUUCUGUUUUAUUGAAAAACCUUUUAUCAUCUGGAAAUCGGUGGAAGUAUUUAGAGGUAAUUGCUAUCUCACCCUCUCUUUAUGUCUCAUUUGUGUGCACUUAAUUAAGAUUUAAUAUAAUAAUGAUACAUGCUGAAUUUAACGUAAAGCGCUUCAAAGGAUAGUGCAGGAAUCUCAAUUACCAGUGGUGAUGAGCAAUUUGGAGCGCAAAGAAACUGAGUACAUGCGGCUUCAAAGACAUAAAAUUGAAAUUGAUGACUUUGAGCAACUAACUUAAAUUGGAAUUGAUGACUUUGAGCAAGAAGCCUGAUUAUGUUGCUGACUCUGAUGAUACUGAGGAUGACCCUGAAACUGACUCAGACAAUGAAGAGUGGAGACUACUGCCUCGCGGUACAGGGACAACAAAGAGGAUGAAACUCCAUCUGAAUCAUGUGGUAAUUUAUUUUCUUUCGUAUAGGAAGUUUAGUUCAUCAAAUGAAGACACACAGGUUUUACUCAUUGACCUCAGUUCAGUUGUAAUAGUACUUACUCCAUCUGAAUUGUACUAUGUUGAUUGCUAUGAGUAUGAUUAAUGUUGAAUGCUUGAUAUCAAUGCAUUGUCAUAUAAUUGAUGCUAAUUGAUUGUUAUGUAUGCAUCUGAAUUAUGGCAUUUCAAUAAUUUAUUAGUGACACUUCAAUUGAAAAUAUCGUUUGAUAUAUAUCUUAUGAUAUAUAUGUUAUCAAGCAUGUUGUUGGCUUUUCAUCUAUUAGUUUUUGUGAUGUUUGCUGCUGCAGAAUUUUUUAUUUGAAUUGGUUUGGUUGAUGAAAUGAUGAGUGAUUCGAUGUUGUUUUUGCAUCUGGGCCAUUGUUCUGAUUUUAAUCUGUUGAUUUUGGGUUGCGAUAUUUUCGGUGAAUGGUUGUGUUGUGUCAAUUUGAUUCUGAUUUCAUUGGCACUAAGAGAGUGUAAUUUUCUUAUUGAUUAUAACAUUGUUCAGGAAAUAAAUGGAUUUAAGAUAGAAAUGAGAUCUAGGGAAAUACUAAUGUCGAAGCGAUGUGUAUGCUUGUGUUGAUGUCUAACAGAGUCGUGGAUCUCGUGGUUUCCGUGUGUUGGAAGAUGAACUACUCAAUAUUGCAAGCACUGAUGAACUCAUCAAUAACACGAGCGUUAUUCCUAUGCGACAGAGCAGGCAAAGAUCUCUCAAUGAAUUUUUCAAGGGAGACCAAACUGAUACUAAUUCACAAUAUGUUGGUUUUCCGGAAAUUGAGUUUGAGGAUGAUCCAGAAUCAAUAAACUUAGCCUCAUGAGCGGCAAUUGAGGCUGAAUGUAAGCACACCUGUGUCCUUUGAUUUGUGAUUUUAUACUGAUUUUUUAUUCCUUUCGGGUGAGGAUUGGUUGAAGCAUAAUGUAGUGAUUGAAGCAUUUGAAGCUAGGGCUGCCAGGAUGAAUGUUGUUGUUGCUCAAAAUCUCGGCAAGUUCACUAAUCCCGAAGAGGGUAAAUGAUUCAAUAUAUCAUGUAUUGUUUGAAUCACAAGCUAUAUUGACCAUUCCUGUUUUGUAACUUUUUUAAAUUUCCGUUAGUAUAGGCGUGUGUUAACUUCCUCAAGUCUACCGCGUGACAGUUUCGAGAAUCAUGAACGUUUGAUUCUUGGAAUGUCAUUCUUAACUUUCAUUUUUUGUGAUAGACGAGUUGAAUGAAUGAAGUGUCUUCGUUGAGUUUUUCGGAUAAUCGAGUUUCUAAAUUGGCAGGUUUGAAUAUAUACUUCUGGUUCUCCUUUAUACCUGCAAUUGUAUGUAUAAUAAUCUGUUUUCAUUUUUUCAACAACUCAAAAUGAGUUGCUCUAUUGAAAAUUAUUUCGGUUUAACAUGUGUUUUCGCUACAUGAAAAAGCUUGUGAUGGUAAUAGGUACAAAACUUCAACAUCUUGUAUCCACUUUUAGCACUUAAAUUCUGGCAGCACCAGGGUCCAUCUGCCAGUACACAAGUAAAGCCGCGCGACGAACUUUUUUGGUCCAAUAAACCAGAUAUACUGCUAUGGUUGAUACAAUUUGUGAUAUUUUAGAACGCGUUCGAAAUGGCUUCAUUUAUUUGGACAUUGGUAAGGUUUAAUUUUUUUUUGAUAAUUUAUCGAUGCUUAUGUUUAUGCCAUUAAUCAUAGAUGAUCGGUUGAUAUCCAUGCAAAUUUAGUGAAACUGCUUGAUUAAUGGCAAUCUUAAACAACUAAAUGUAACUGAUCAAUGACAAGCUUAAACAGCUGAUCAAAUGCAACUGCUCAACAAAAUAUAGCAGGUCCUACUCAUUUCUCUCUCUUUCAGCUUCCCAAUUUCAAUUUUGUUGCUUCUGUUUCUUUAGCAGCAACUGUCAUGUCAUGAGAUAAAUGCUUAUUUGGGUACUUAUAAUUGGUACUGUUGUUUGAGAUAAGUGCCUAUUUGGAUACCUAUAAUUGCUACUUUUGUUUUUGUUUGAGAUAAAUGCUUCUUUGAUGGAAUCAAAUGGAAAACAAAUUUAAAGUGGGGGCAGUUUACAAGCGCAUAAUCAGUGAGGAGCAACGUAUUCAUUGGAUAAGUUUGAUGCAUCAAAACGCUGCCAGACCUCGAGCCAUUUUUACUCUAUGGCAGGCGUGCCAUAGAAAGCUUGCAACACGAGACCGCCUUCAGAGAUUUGGUAUGCUGGCCCGCAGUGAAUGUAGUUUCUGUCAAAAAGAGGAAACACAUGAUCACAUCUUCUUUGAAUGUGAGGAAACAAAAAAAUCUGGAAAACAGUGUUAAAUUGGAUUCAAGUUGUUCAUGAGCCCAACUCUUGGCAAGAAGAAAUCUGUUGGUUGGUGAGCAAAACGAUACGGAAAGCAUCUUUUGAAGCUUGCAGAUUAAUAUGAAGGGUCUCGACGGUAUUCAGGGUCCUGUAUAUGUCGGCACAUGGUGUGUAUUUAGAAGGCAAGCAUUAUAUGGAUAUAAUCCUCCCAAGGGUCCUAAGCGUCCAAAAAUGGUCAGAUGUGAUUGUUGCCCGUGCUUUGGAAGGAACAAGAUUCAUUUUCUGUAUUGUUAUGCAUCAGUGUUGCAAAUCCUGGAAUUGUACAAACAAACAUCAUGCGAGAAGUUCUAGCAUGCCUGUCUUGGUUGGCAUACUUUGUGCUGGAACGCCUACGCCUAUUGCAAUCCCCUGACCGCGGGAAAGAUUCGAUUAUUGAUGUUGCUUUUGCUCCACCUGUGAGUACAUUUUUAUCGGUCUUUGUUGAUAUCUGUUUCACAUUUCCAUGCAUGCUUUGAUGUUUCAAAAUGACCAAAAGUGUUGUCUACGUCUACCAACUCAUUUACUUAUUAUACCAUCAGCUGUAGUCAUGUCUAAAGUUUCAUCUGAUGCAAUAUCUCUUGAUGCCUUGUCCUUGAUGACUGGUACUUCGUAUAAA